AAGUCGUAACAAGGUUUCCGUAGGUGAACCUGCGGAAGGAUCAUUACCAAUAUAGCGAACCGAGCGUUAGCGAGGCUUCGCGAUCAAAUUUGUAUUUAAAACCCAACUCUUUAAAUGUAUAUAUUAUUAUUGUAUUUUAAAUAAUAAAGAUCACUUUCAACAACGGAUCUCUUGGCUCUC
rnacentral:misc_RNA from 1 species